rnacentral:rRNA from 1 species
CCUACGGGUGGCAGCAGUGAGGAAUAUUGGUCAAUGGGCGCGAGCCUGAACCAGCCAAGUCGCGUGAGGGAAGACGGCCCUACGGGUUGUAAACCUCUUUUGCCGGGGAGCAACGGGCGCCACGUGUGGCGCCACUGAGAGUACCCGGAGAAAAAGCAUCGGCUAACUCCGUGCCAGCAGCCGCGGUAAUACGGAGGAUGCGAGCGUUAUCCGGAUUUAUUGGGUUUAAAGGGUGCGUAGGCGGAGCGUUAAGUCAGUGGUCAAAUUGAGGUGCUCAACCCCUUCCCGCCAUUGAAACUGGCGCUCUUGAGUGGAAGAGAAGUAUGCGGAAUUCGUGGUGUAGCGGUGAAAUGCUUAGAUAUCACGAAGAACUCCGAUUGCGAAGGCAGCCUGCUGGACUGUAACUGACGCUGAUGCUCGAAAGUGUGGGUAUCAAACAGGAUUAGAUACCCUGGUAGUC